rnacentral:rRNA from 1 species
GACGAACGCUGGCGGCGUGCUUAACACAUACAAGUCGAACGAAGAGCGAUGGAAGCUUGCUUCUAUCAAUCUUAGUGGCGAACGGGUGAGUAACGCGUAAUCAACCUGCCCUUCAGAGGGGGACAACAGUUGGAAACGACUGCUAAUACCGCAUACGAUCUAAUCUCGGCAUCGAGGAUAGAUGAAAGGUGGCCUCUACAUGUAAGCUAUCACUGAAGGAGGGGAUUGCGUCUGAUUAGCUAGUUGGAGGGGUAACGGCCCACCAAGGCGAUGAUCAGUAGCCGGUCUGAGAGGAUGAACGGCCACAUUGGGACUGAGACACGGCCCAGACUCCUACGGGAGGCAGCAGUGGGGAAUCUUCCGCAAUGGACGAAAGUCUGACGGAGCAACGCCGCGUGAGUGAUGACGGCCUUCGGGUUGUAAAGCUCUGUUAAUCGGGACGAAAGGCCUUCUUGCGAAUAGUGAGAAGGAUUGACGGUACCGGAAUAGAAAGCCACGGCUAACUACGUG